rnacentral:tRNA from 1 species
AACCUCGUGGUGCAACGUAGCGCCGUCUGACUCCAGAUCAGAAGGUUGCGUGUUCAAAUCACGUCGGGAGUU